UCUUUCAUCCAACUACCUGCCGGUUACCAGCUGGAAUAGCUGGCAGAAGCAAAACAUUGAACUUACGUCAGAUCAAGAGAAGGAAAGAAAAGGUUGGCACCCAGCUGGUUAAAAGAGAGUGGAAAACAAACAACUUUUCACGGACUCUGGAAAGAAAACUACGUCCAAAACUCACCAAAUGAUUGAAAUGGAAGGGUAACGGUGAAUUAUUUUCAAAGGAACCACAUUUCUGUUCUUUUAUGAUACAUGUUUCAAGGUACAAACUAUGUUUGCAAAUAGAAAUCUAUUCCAGUCCUCCCAGGUGUGAGAGGAAUGCAUAAGGCAGGCUUGGUGCAUCUUCACAAGACAAAAUUGCUGUCAACAUGAGAAUCUUAAUCCAAUACUCCCUGCUGAACUUGGCACAGAAUCACUGCUCCAUGAGAUCUGGCAUCCAGCCUGAUGCUGAAAGAGGAAAGGACUGAGCCUAGGAGAGGCCUUCUAGGUGAUUGAUUUAUCUUAAUAUCUGACUGCGUUUGAAGAAAAGAACCACGGACAGUCAUCUCUACUUUAAGGUACACGAAGAGGAUGAGAACAGAUUGGAUUGAGAAGUGAAGAGAGAGUGAGCAAGGCACAGGAGCAGCUCGUGGCAUGAAGCCAAAGCAAGCACCAGGAAAACCCAAUUCCAGGAAGAGCCAGCGGCCCUAAAGAAGGAAAUGGUACUAUGAACAUGUGCUGAUGUUUUGCUAGGCAUGCUAUUGUGAGCUCUGAAAAGGGUCCGCUGAGAGGAUUCGCAAUGCCUAUCAAGCCGUCCAGAAAGGAGCUUCCAGCUCCGCGGGGUGAUGGCGUUCAUUGGGUAACAGGCAUGGAAAAGCGAAGGCCUCCUGGGGCCUCGGGCUAAUUGAAUGCAAUCCUGUUUCUCCUUCCUUCACUGCUGAAACACAUAAGCCCAAAU